UGGAAGCCUGCACCACGGCGUGCCGCGUCUCCUCCAUGUCACUGAUGACACCAUCCGUGAUGAUGAGGAGGAUGAAGUAUUGCUGUGGGAGGGGGUCAGCAGGCACUCAGCACAGCCCAGGGCCCCUGGCUACCCUUCCCCUCCCUCCUUUCCCACCCGCCCCAACCCCUCUGACCCCUGGGAGGAAGGCUGCGCUCCUCCCAGAGCUGCUGCCAGAUCGCAGCGCCUCCCUCCACACUCGGGCCCUGCAGGCCUCUAUCACAGCCGGAAGCACAGACUGCUUGCUCUCUUCCUCUGCCUUUCCCAACUCAGGAGUCUGAGAGCUCCAGACUCCAGGCCUGGCUCUGAUAGUGGCUACACCGUGGGACUCCGGGCCACUGUCUCAACUGGCUGUGCCUCCGUUUCUUCAUCUGCAGAAUGGGAGUUUCCACACCUCUCAAAGAGACCACGCCAGCCACGUGGUAGCAGCUCAGUAAUUAACAGCCGUACCCCCACAGAGCAAGGCCCACGGCUGCUGGGGAAGAUGUCUUCUGGCCUGUGGACUCUGAGACCAGCCUACCCUUCUCUACUCCACUUGCAGGAGAGGCGAUGUGGACCCAGAAUAGUCAAGGUCAUAGAGGUAAAAAGGGCAGAAGCAAGCCAGCUCCCAAGUCAGCAUCUGGCCACCUUCUCACUCAGCAAAGCCCUUCGCUGCCUGGGAAGCAUAUGGAGACCACAAGUUCAGCCAUCAAGGAUUCCUUACUCUCCUGCCUGUCCCCAGACACAGCUGUGGAAGGCAGGAAUGAACCGCAUGGAGCCAGCCACGUGUCUGCAUUUGGAGACUUGGAGCCCGCAGGCCCUGGUUCCUGCAGAACUGUAGGCACCAACUAAAAGGGUUUAAUCCGUUGGCAUUACAGCUGCUGUCUCCUGGCCCAGCUCCCCACUAGACCACUGGCCCUGGGAGGGCAGCGGCCAUAGCCUGGGAUCAUGGUCUCCCCAUUGCUGCACGGAAACACACACUGUAGAACCAAGCUAUGUGAAUGAAUGGGAGAGUGCGGGCCUGCCUGGAGAGAUGCUUCCACCACCUGCUCUUGAUUUCCUGUGCGUGGGUGUGCGUGCAUGUUCGUGUGCCGGGGACAGGGAGGAUGAAGCCACACCAAGUGUUUCCCAAACAGCGGCUGUUCAAAAGCAUCAGGUAAACUAAAAGUGGAGAGACACUGGGCUCACCUAGGAUCUUAGAACACGGAGAGGCAGAACACCCAGCCGGUGCCUGCCCUACCCUGCACGUCCACACCA